AAAAUCAAUUGUUUUUUAAUUGAAAACUGGAAUGAAAGAAUUAAUGAAAUAAAAAUUGUCUCAAUUUUAAAUAUUGAAUUUAAAUUUUAAGUUAAAAUACUUAAAUUUUUUUAUUAGACGAGAAGACCCUAUAGAAUUUUAUAAAAUUUAUAUUAAAGAGUUAAAUUGUAAAAUUAAAUAAUUUCAUAUAAUUAUAUUUUAUUGGGAGGAUAAUUAAAUUUAAAAAACUUUAAUUUUAUUAAUACAUAGAUUAAUGAAUGAAUGAGAGAUUAUUAUUAUAAUUAAUAGAAAAAAUUACCUUA
rnacentral:rRNA from 1 species